rnacentral:rRNA from 1 species
GACAGAGGGUGCAAACGUUGCUCGGAAUCACUGGGCGUAAAGCGCACGUAGGCGGCUUCUUAAGUCAGGGGUGAAAUCCUGGAGCUCAACUCCAGAACUGCCCUUGAUACUGAGGAGCUUGAGUCCGGGAGAGGUGAGUGGAACUGCGAGUGUAGAGGUGAAAUUCGUAGAUAUUCGCAAGAACACCAGUGGCGAAGGCGGCUCACUGGCCCGGUACUGACGCUGAGGUGCGAAAGCGUGGGGAGCAAACAGG